rnacentral:tRNA from 1 species
CGAGAUGGCGGAAUUGGUAGACGCGCCAGACUCAAAAUCUGGUUGAGGUAACUUAGUGAGGGUUCGAUUCCCUCUCUCGGC